UCAAGCACAGCGUUUCACCACCUGCCCCGUUUGAACAGACAGUGCCACGGCAAAAGAAAUAUUUUACCGAGUUUUGAGCCUACGGUCUUGAAUGUGAUCGGAUAAAGAGACAGUUUACCGCAAAACAAAGAAAAAAAAUGAGGUUGGACAGACAUGCAGAUCGAUCAAACAAUGGGUCUUCAAGGACGUCUUGAUGUGUUGAUCCAGGUGUACUGUGUUGCGGUGGAAUUCACAUCUCCGUCUUCACUCUCAUUUAUGAGACCCCCAUAAAUCCAAGCGUGUUUAUCAUUUCCAUCCAAUCAGGAGACACAUUUAUGAACAGGUACCAAACAGUUUCCUCACAGACUUUGCUUCAGAAUUAAAUAUGGCACCCUCUAACUAACAUCUAUUAAACUGCUGCACUAUGUGCAUGAGUG